rnacentral:tRNA from 1 species
CCGAGAAGAGUAAGGAAACACAGAGACUGCUAAUUAUCUGACACGAGGUUAAA